UUGGCAUAAGGUUAGGCUUUCCCUUUUGAUGUGAUCUGCAAUGAGCUCCGAGUCUGUAUUGGAGCAAGAGAUUGGGUAUAAAUACUGUAGAAAAUUCAGACUCUGUCUCAGGUCUGUGUUUCAAACACAAGUUAAAUGCAUUUAAAUUGUUCCCCUUCUUCUGGCAUCCAUGCUGAGGGGUCAACUUGUUGUUCUUUGUGUCUUGAUAAAUAUUUAGGACAUGGACAGCAACAGCAGCAACAGAAGAACAGUGGCUUGGGGUUCAGGUCUUGGGCCAAGAAAAGUUUUGAGCCUAUAUGAAUGUCUAAAUUACUGAGCUAUUGAGUAUGUUUCUGCCUAGGAAUUCCAAGAUGCGUUCAGGCUUUGGGAUAUCUGUGCAGUUGGGUGCUGCCUGUCAGCUGGAGGUACAAGGACUGAUCCUGAACUGAUAAGGUUGGCUCUAAGUGGUGACUUUGAGGGCAUGGUCUAGGCUAUGUUAGCUGUGUCCUACCAGAUUGAAAAGUUGAGACUUGGAGGAGCAAGUGAUAAUUACCUCCUUUUUG